UACGGAGGGUGCAAGCGUUGUCCGGAAUCACUGGGCGUAAAGGGCGCGUAGGCGGCGCAGUAAGUAGGGGGUGAAAUCUCACGGCUCAACCGUGAAACGGCCUCCUAAACUGCUGUGCUUGAGCACGGUAGAGGCAGAUGGAAUUCCCGGUGUAGCGGUGGAAUGCGUAGAUAUCGGGAAGAACACCAGUGGCGAAGGCGGUCUGCUGGGCCGUAGCUGACGCUGAGGCGCGACAGCGUGGGGAGCAAACAGGAUUAGAUACCCUCGUA
rnacentral:rRNA from 1 species